rnacentral:sRNA from 3 species
GCAGGUGAAUGCAACGCCAAGCGAUGGGCGUUGCGCUCCAUAUUGUCUUACUUCCUAAUUUUUUGAAUUAUUGCAUAGCACAUUUAAUUCGUAACAUGCCGACUUUUAGUCGGCAUUU